rnacentral:rRNA from 7 species
AUCCUUUGCAGACGACUUG